rfam:Picea glauca, whole genome shotgun sequence.
ACAUGCCUACAGCAUAGCAUUAAUGCAUAGGAUCUCAUUAGAACUCGGCAAUUAAGCGCGCUCGUGCUAGAGUAGCACUUGGAUGGGUGACCACCAGGGAAUUCCUAGUGUUUUACAUGCC